rnacentral:rRNA from 1 species
UAAUACGGAGGGUGCGAGCGUUGUUCGGAAUCACUGGGCGUAAAGGGCGUGUAGGCGGUCCGCUAAGUCUGAUGUGAAAGCCCGGGGCUCACCCCCGGAAGGGCAUUGGAAACUGACGGACUCGAGUCCCGAAGAGGAGGGUGGAAUUCCUGGUGUAGCGGUGAAAUGCGUAGAUAUCAGGAGGAACACCGGUGGCGAAGGCGGCCCUCUGGACGGUGACUGACGCUGAGACGCGAAAGCGUGGGGAGCAAACAGGAUUAGAUACCCUGGUAGUCCACGCUGUAAACGAUGAGCACUAGGUGUCGUGGGUAUUGACCCCCGCGGUGCCGUAGCUAACGCAUUAAGUGCUCCGCCUGGGGACUACGGCCGCAAGGUUA